AGAGUUUGAUCAUGGCUCAGAACGAACGCUGGCGGCGCGUCUUAAGCAUGCAAGUCGAACGGCAUGAGGAAUGCUUGCAUUCCUCAGAGAGUGGCGGACUGGUGAGUAACACGUGGGUGACCUACCCUUGAGAUGGGGAUAGCCGUUAGAAAUAGCGGAUAAUACCGAAUACGCUCUACGAACUGUGGUUUGUAGAGGAAACAGGCUACGGCCUGGCUCAAGGAUGGGCCCGCGUCCCAUUAGCUAGUUGGUGAGGUAAGAGCCCACCAAGGCGACGAUGGGUAUCCGGCCUGAGAGGGUGUACGGACACAUUGGGACUGAGAUACGGCCCAAACUCCUACGGGAGGCAGCAGCUAAGAAUAUUCCGCAAUGGACGAAAGUCUGACGGAGCGACGCCGCGUGGAUGACGAAGGCCGAAAGGUUGUAAAAUCCUUUUGCUGAUGAAGAAUAAGCGUGGUAGGGAAUGACCGCGUGAUGACAUUAGUCGGUGAAUAAGCCCCGGCUAACUACGUGCCAGCAGCCGCGGUAACACGUAGGGGGCAAGCGUUGUUCGGAAUUAUUGGGCGUAAAGGGCAUGUAGGCGGUUUGGUAAGCCUGAUGUGAAAUCCUGCAGCUUAACUGUAGAACUGCAUUGGGUACUGCCGAACUUGAAUCACUGAGGGGAAACUAGAAUUCCAGGUGUAGGGGUGGAAUCUGUAGAUAUCUGGAAGAAUACCGGUGGCGAAGGCGGGUUUCUAGCAGAUGAUUGACGCUGAGGUGCGAAAGUGCGGGGAGCGAACAGGAUUAGAUACCCUGGUAGUCCGCACCGUAAACGAUGUACACUAGGUGUCGGGGCAUGAGUCUCGGUGCCAAAGCUAACGUAAUAAGUGUACCGCCUGGGAAGUAUGCCCGCAAGGGUGAAACUCAAAGGAAUUGACGG
rnacentral:rRNA from 1 species